UCAAUCGAACUGACCUCUGACCUCGGCUGAGAACUGGGCGGAAUGUCUGGUUAUGAAAAGCUGUAGUUGUUGGUCCAGGUCACAUUCUGACACAUUGAUGUCCCAGGAUCGGAUACCUGCAGCACCUCUGGGAUUUAAAGUACAGACACUUUGACUGACAAGUCCAAAAUGUUGCUGUUUGGCCACUACUGCCCUAACUUAGAUGCUGAGCUGAUAUGGAUCUGGCAGUUUUUCACAUAAGCUGAAGAGCAAAUACUUCACAAAUCCAGACAGCAGCUCCAGGACUUUGGAUAAAUAUCGCACCAGUUCCGCGUUGGCCUCUCCGUCUGUCGGAGGAGCAGCAAUGGCGACACCCACCGCCUCCUCGGAC